UACGGGGGGGGCAAGCGUUGUUCGGAAUUACUGGGCGUAAAGGGCGUGUAGGUGGCCAACUAAGUCAGACGUGAAAUCCCCAGGCUUAACCUGGGAACUGCGUCGGAUACUGGAUGGCUUGAGUUCGGGAGAGGAAUGCAGAAUUCCAGGUGUAGCGGUGAAAUGCGCAGAUAUCAGGAGGAACACCAAUUGCGAAGGCAGCUCGCUGGGACGUUACUGACGCUGAGACGCGAAAGCGUGGGGAGCAAACAGG
rnacentral:rRNA from 1 species